UGAANUUAAAGGCUGUGGCUUAACCAUAGUNCGCUUUGGAAACUGUUUAACUNGAGUGCAGAAGGGGAGAGUGGAAUUCCAUGUGUAGCGGUGAAAUGCGUAGAUAUAUGGAGGAACACCGGUGGCGAAAGCGGCUCUCUGGUCUGUAACUGACGCUGAGGCUCGAAAGCGUGGGGAGCGAACAGGAUUAGAUACCCUGGUAGUNCACGCCGUAAACGAUGAGUGCUAGGUGUUAGGCCCCUUCCGGGGCUUAGUGCCGCAGCUAACGCAUUAAGCACUCCGCCUGGGGAGUACGACCGCAAGGUUGAAACUCAAAGGAAUUGACGGGGGCCCGCACAAGCGGUGGAGCAUGUGGUUUAAUUCGAAGCAACGCGAAGAACCUUACCAGGUCUUGACAUCCCGAUGCCCGCUCUAGAGAUAGAGUUUUACUUCGGUACAUCGGUGACAGGUGGUGCAUGGUUGUCGUCAGCUCGUGUCGUGAGAUGUUGGGUUAAGUCCCGCAACGAGCGCAACCCUUAUUGUUAGUUGCCAUCAUUCAGUUGGGCACUCUAGCGAGACUGCCGGUAAUAAACCGGAGGAAGGUGGGGAUGACGUCAAAUCAUCAUGCCCCUUAUGACCUGGGCUACACACGUGCUACAAUGGCUGGUACAACGAGUCGCAAGUCGGUGACGGCAAGCUAAUCUCUUAAGGCCAGUCUCAGUUCGGAUUGUAGGCUGCAACUCGCCUACAUGAAGUCGGAAUCGCUAGUAAUCGCGGAUCAGCACGCCGCGGUGAAUACGUUCCCGGGCCUUGUACACACCGCCCGUCACACCACGAGAGUUUGUAACACCCGAAGUCGGUGAGGUAA
rnacentral:rRNA from 1 species